AGGUCGAGUGUUUGGAAAGAGUCUGAGCUGACUAUGCUAGAUGAUGGUACUUAUAAAGCAAUAUGCAAGCACUGUAAGAAAGAUUUUGUUGCUGGUAAUAGAGCUGGGACAAGCCACUUGAAGUACCACAUUGGAGUCUGUCCUAAGAUUCAGUUAUCAAAGAGAAGAAAGUAUGGUAGUCCAAAGUUGGAUAUUCCUAUCUUUGAUCAGCAACGUAGCCGCGAUGAUUUUUUCAGAAUGGUUCUUGCUCAUGGUUACUCUUUUAAUAUGUCUGAACACUACUAUACCAGAAUAUUCCUCUAUAACCUGCAACCUGCUAAGAGAAUACUUGAUGAUUAUCGCUGCAACCUGCUCCCGAAAACAAUUGAGGCUAUAAUGUGUUCACAUGAUUGGCUCAAGGGUCGCAUACCAGCCGAGCAUAGGGGUGUUGAAGUUGACAUACCUACUUCUGAAUCAUCUCUACCAACAAAAAGUCAAGAAGAUCAAAAUGACGAUGAUUAAGGAGCAGGACAAGGUUCCCAUAAAGAUCUGCAGGUGUCUAAGUGCUUUGCUGAUGGUGUGGAGCAGAGUACAAAUGUUAUUUUUUCUGUUAUCAUGUACUCUACUAAUGGGAUCAAAGGAUUGGUCAAUGCUCAUAUAAAGAAUGAAGCAAUCAAUCUCUAGUGUUAGGGAUCAGAAUUUGUUAA